AACUAAGAUAGAGGCGCGAAAUUUAUGAGUAGUAUUAUGGACACAAGCAUAAUGAAAUAAUACGAAAGGAACUUUCGCCGAAGUAAAUAGUAAAUUGCUUUAAUACUAUUUGCUGGUUUUAUGUAGAAUAUGCAUAAAACUGUCACAAGUGAUUUGUGGAGAGCUAUUUUCAAU
rnacentral:ncRNA from 2 species